UACAGAGGGGGCAAGCGUUAUUCGGAAUUAUUGGGCGUAAAGGGCGCGUAGGCGGCCUGGCAAGCGACGGGUGAAAUCCCUCGGCUUAACCGAGGAGCUGCCUGUCGAACUGCCUGGCUUGAGGCCGGGAGAGGCGAGUGGAAUUCCCAGUGUAGCGGUGAAAUGCGUAGAUAUUGGGAGGAACACCAGUGGCGAAGGCGGCUCGCUGGACCGGUUCUGACGCUGAGGCGCGAAAGCGUGGGGA
rnacentral:rRNA from 1 species